CGUGCAGUCUCAGUACAGACUAUAUUAAAGUGAAACCGCAAAAGGCUCAGUAAACCAGUUUUAAUUUACUAGAGUUAACUUGACUGUGUUUGGAUAACUGUGGUAAUUCUAGAGCUAAUACAUGCAACCAAGCCGUGACCAUUCGUGGUCAGGGCGCUUUUAUUAGACCAAGACCAAUCGCCCGGCCAGUCCGGGCGUUCAGUUGAGGAACCUAGAUAACACAGCAGAUCGCAUGGUCCUCGUACCGGCGACCUAUCUUUCAAAUGCCUGACUUAUCAACUGACGAUGGUAGACUCUGUGUCUACCAUGGCUGUUACGGGUAACGGGGAAUCAGGGUUCGAUUCCGGAGAGGGAGCCUGAGAAACGGCUACCACAUCCNAGGAAGGCAGCAGGCACGCAAAUUACCCACUCCCGGAACGGGGAGGUAGUGACAAAAAAUAACGAUACGGGACUCGAUAUGAGGCCUCGUAAUCGGAAUGAGUACACUCUAAAUCCUUUAACAAAAAUCUAUUGGAGGGCAAGUCUGGUGCCAGCAGCCGCGGUAAUUCCAGCUCCCAUAGCGUAUAUUAAAGUUGUUGCGGUUAAAAAGCUCGUAGUUGGUUCUGCGUCCCGCGCUGUCGGUACACCGUUUGUCGGUGACACUGGCAUGACGCGGGAUGUCCUGUCGGUGGCGGCGGAGACCAUAUCGCCGUCGGGUAACACCGCGGCGUGUUGGCCUUCUGUCGCCGGCUAUAUCCUACCGCGGUGCUCUUCACUGAGUGUCGAGGUAGGCCGACACGUUUACUUUGAACAAAUUAGAGUGCUUAAAGCAGGCAAAAAUCUCUGCCAGAAUAGUGGUGCAUGGAAUAAUGGAACAGGACCUUGGUUCUAUUCUGUUGGUCUCCGGAACACAAGGUAAUGAUCAAUGUGGACAGGCGGGGGCAUUCGUAUUGCGGCGUUAGAGGUGAAAUUCUUGGAUCGUCGCAAGACGCACUAAAGCGAAAGCAAUUGCCNAGUAUGUCUUGAGCUUUCCCCGGGAAACCAAAGCUUUUGGGUUCCGGGGGAAGUAUGGUUGCAAAGCUGAAACUUAAAGGAAUUGACGGAAGGGCACCACCAGAAGUGGAGCCUGCGGCUUAAUUUGACUCAACACGGGAAACCUCACCAGGUCAGGACAUUGGAAUGAUUGACAGAUUGAUAGCUCUUUCUUGAUUCAGUGGGUAGUGGUGCAUGGCCGUUCUUAGUUGGUGGAUCGAUUUGUCUGGUUAAUUCCGAUAACGAACGAGACUCUAGCCUAUUAACUAGACGCGUUUGGUAUCGAAUCUACCGGCGAACUAUAUUCUUCUUAAGGGGACAGGCGGCUUUUAGCCGCACGAGAUUGAGCAAUAACAGGUCUGUGAUGCCCUUAGAUGUCCUGGGCCGCACGCGCGCUACACUGAAGGAAUCAGCGUGUGCGUUCCCUUGGCCGAAAGGUCCGGGUAACCCGCUGAACCUCCUUCGUGCUAGGAAUUGGGGCUUGCAAUUGUUCCCCAUGAACGAGGAAUUCCCAGUAAGCGCGAGUCAUAAGCUCGCGUUGAUUACGUCCCUGCCCUUUGUACACACCGCCCGUCGCUACUACCGAUUGAAUGAUUUAGUGAGGUCUUCGGACUGGCGGUAAGCCCAACCGACUCGUCGGUUUUGUCGAACGCUGGAAAGAUGACCAAACUUGAUCAUUUAGAGGAAGUAAAAGUCGUAACAAGGUUUCCGUA
rnacentral:rRNA from 1 species